rnacentral:rRNA from 1 species
GGACGAACGCUGGCGGCGUGCUUAACACAUGCAAGUCGAACGGAAAGGCCCUGCUUUUGUGGGGUGCUCGAGUGGCGAACGGGUGAGUAACACGUGAGUAACCUGCCCUUGACUUUGGGAUAACUUCAGGAAACUGGGGCUAAUACCGGAUAGGAGCUCCUGCUGCAUGGUGGGGGUUGGAAAGUUUCGGCGGUUGGGGAUGGACUCGCGGCUUAUCAGCUUGUUGGUGGGGUAGUGGCUUACCAAGGCUUUGACGGGUAGCCGGCCUGAGAGGGUGACCGGCCACAUUGGGACUGAGAUACGGCCCAGACUCCUACGGGAGGCAGCAGUGGGGAAUAUUGCACAAUGGGCGGAAGCCUGAUGCAGCAACGCCGCGUGCGGGAUGACGGCCUUCGGGUUGUAAACCGCUUUCGCCUGUGACGAAGCGUGAGUGACGGUAAUGGGUAAAGAAGCACCGGCUAACUACGUGCCAGCAGCCGCGGUGAUACGUAGGGUGCGAGCGUUGUCCGGAUUUAUUGGGCGUAAAGGGCUCGUAGGUGGUUGAUCGCGUCGGAAGUGUAAUCUUGGGGCUUAACCCUGAGCGUGCUUUCGAUACGGGUUGACUUGAGGAAGGUAGGGGAGAAUGGAAUUCCUGGUGGAGCGGUGGAAUGCGCAGAUAUCAGGAGGAACACCAGUGGCGAAGGCGGUUCUCUGGGCCUUUCCUGACGCUGAGGAGCGAAAGCGUGGGGAGCGAACAGGCUUAGAUACCCUGGUAGUCCACGCUGUAAACGGUGGGUACUAGGUGUGGGGUCCAUUCCACGGGUUCCGUGCCGUAGCUAACGCUUUAAGUACCCCGCCUGGGGAGUACGGCCGCAAGGCUAAAACUCAAAGGAAUUGACGGGGCCCCGCACAAGCGGCGGAGCAUGCGGAUUAAUUCGAUGCAACGCGUAGAACCUUACCUGGGUUUGACAUGGAUCGGGAGUGCUCAGAGAUGGGUGUGCCUCUUUUGGGGUCGGUUCACAGGUGGUGCAUGGCUGUCGUCAGCUCGUGUCGUGAGAUGUUGGGUUAAGUCCCGCAACGAGCGCAACCCUUGUUCACUGUUGCCAGCACGUUAUGGUGGGGACUCAGUGGAGACCGCCGGGGUCAACUCGGAGGAAGGUGGGGAUGACGUCAAGUCAUCAUGCCCCUUAUGUCCAGGGCUUCACGCAUGCUACAAUGGCUGGUACAGAGAGUGGCGAGCCUGUGAGGGUGAGCGAAUCUCGGAAAGCCGGUCUCAGUUCGGAUUGGGGUCUGCAACUCGACCUCAUGAAGUCGGAGUCGCUAGUAAUCGCAGAUCAGCAACGCUGCGGUGAAUACGUUCCCGGGGCUUGUACACACCGCCCGUCAAGUCAUGAAAGUUGGUAACACCCGAAGCCGGUGGCCUAACCGUUGUGGGGGAGCCGUCGAAGGUGGGAC